AUUAACUAUAGAAGUCAAUUCUAAGAUGGCCCCUCAAAUUCCUGCUCCCUGGUGUCCACAGCCUGUAUAAUCCCUUUCCCUUCAGUGUGGGGAGGCCUGUGAAUAUGAUAGAAUGGGCUUUCCCUGCAGAGGUUCCAAUCUGACAAAGGUGGUGGGAUAGUCACUUCCUUGCUCACAACACACUACACAGACUUCCUCACAGCAGAUUGGGGAGAGUCUUCUCCAGCUGGCUUUGAAGACCUAAACUGCUGUAUUGUGAAGUGGCCGCUAGGAGCUGAGGGCAACCCCUGGCUGUCAGCCAGCAAGACAAAAGGGACCUCAGUUCUAUAGCCACAAGGAACUGAAUUCUGCCAGUAACCUUACUAGACCUGGAAGAGUACUCAAAGCUUCAGAGAACACAGAAGUGUGACCAACAUCUUGACACAGUUGGUGAGAUUCUGAGCAAAGGACCCUGAGAAAAGGAAGCCUGACUCCAGAUCCAUGGAAACUCGGAAAUAUCUUGGGAAUGGAUUUAUAUUUGCUGGUGAGAUCCUCUGACUCUCAAGCGAGGUGUUACAAAGGCAGCUUGCACCCUGAGCAGCAAGAAUGGCACUUCCAAGCUCCUUCUCUGGGAACUACUCAGCAUCCCAACACCAAGCCAUCAUAGCUUUGAAUUUUACCUGUCAAUCAGCCAUCAAAUUCCAGCUGUAUUACUCAGAAAUCCAUUCUCACCAUGAUGAUCCCAAUGCAGUUCGUUGUCUCUCAACCAUCAAUAGCCUGGCAAGAAAUAUUUCUGUGAGCUUGGCCCCUUCUUCCCUCUCUGUCUGUCACCUUUAUCCUUCUACUGUCAUCAGCCACUGUCCUUAAAGAUUAUUCCUCUCCUCAAAAGCCUUCAGAGAAUCCCCAUAAUUAACAGAACGAAGUCCAGAUUCCUCAGCACAGCCUUCAACCACUUCCAUGGUUGGGCCUCAAUGUACCCCCCUUUGAGGUUCCCCCUAAGAAUUGAUUAUUUGACAUUUCCAAACAUAUGUAAGACUUACCAAUGGCUACACCUUAACUCAUGUUAGGCGACCUCACCAGAAAACGACAUCUGGAAUACUCCUACCAUGUCCUAAUUAUCUUUCAAAGUCCUGUUUAAACAUUACUCCCUCUAGGAAGCUCCUUUUAAUAUCACCUCUACUCCAAAACCUCAAACUUUAUGCUACAUUCUUAAUAAAUCUAUUUCAUUUUACCUCUUUUAUCCAUUAUACCCACACUUACACAUAUUACAAUCAACAAAUACAGGUAUUUCCCCCAUUAAAUUACAAUCUCUCAUUUUUUUAUUGCACACACCUCCUAGUAUAUAAAUGCUGCACAAAUAUUUACCUAAUUGUGGCAUCACCAAGUAAAAAGUAUUUAAAUUUAAAAAUAAAAAGUGUAAUACUGACAGGUAGCAUAUAAUAUUAUACAAUACUAAAUUGACUUUCGGCCAAAAAAAAAAGUGUACUUUUCACCUUUCCUGCCAGAUACAAUGCCUAGUGUUAUAAAAAAAAUUAUAAGGAAAUAAACACAUUUAAAUAGAAAUUCUUAAGGUUAAAUUAUAGUUAAUAAAACAAUUUAGCUUUUCAUUUCUUUUUAUUAUAGCACACACAUAAAGAUGUAGCCAUCUUUGUUCUAUGCUUAGAUCCUCAUAUUAUCAGAAUGAACUCUAUAAAGCAGUACACAAGGGUAAGGGAGUAGGUUGAGGGUGAAGGAAACCCAGUAUGAUGCUGUUUUUAUUUAAAAUUCCUAGCUGUGACCUUCAGCUACAAUCAGUAGGAUGACAAAGAAGCCUGACUCCCUCUGUUCAAUUUUCCUCAGUGAUUUACAACUCCUGACUUGUGUGCUGAGGGCUAUUUUCUAGACCUGCUACAGACCCUAUAAAUGUGAAUUUAAAUUUUUUUAUUUUUGUCACUUUGUUACUGGAAAAAACUAAGGAUUUUUUAAAAGAAUAAAAUGAGGUCAGAGAAAAAAAAUAGUUGCAGUAAGUCAACUUCUCCCUUUGCCAAAAGAGCACAAGAAAAUAUCUUAGUAGUAGAUGAAAAUGAGAGACCAUAGUAUAUCAAACUGGAACAUCCUGUCCUGUAAAUGCUUGACUCUCAAAGGUUAAUAAAUUCAGUGUAGACUAGUUUGAAGAGGGGAAGGACUAAUGGCCAUUAGUUUGAGGCCAUUUAGAGAAUCAA